UACCUGCAGCCCGAGUGGUGCUCGUUAUUAUUGGGUCUAAAUCGUCCGUAGUCGGCUAAGUAGAUGCCCGGGUAAAUCGCAGCGCUCAACGUUGCGAAUUCCGGGUAGACCGCUUGGCUAGGGAUUGGGAGAGGUGCAAAGUACUUCGAGGGUAGGGGUAAAAUCCUGUAAUCCUCGGGGGACUACCAGUGGCGAAGGCGUUGCACUAGAACAAGUCCGACGAUCAGGGACGAAGCCCUGGGGCGCAAACGGG
rnacentral:rRNA from 1 species